rnacentral:rRNA from 1 species
CAAUAGCGUAUAUUAAAGUUGUUGCAGUUAAAAAGACUCGUAGUUGGAGUUCAGAGUGAGCUCAGCCGGUCGGCCUUAUGGGUCAGAACUGGUUGACUCUCUCUUGUUUGUGGAUCCCUUCGGAGUUAACUCUUCGGAUGUGGAGUCCACAUCGUUUACCUUGAAAAAAUUAGAGUGUUCAAAGCAGGCGUUUGCUUGAAUAUAUUAGCAUGGAAUAAUGGAAUAGGACGCUGGUUCUAUUUUGUUGGUUUUGAGAACCAGAGUAAUGAUUAAUAGGGACAGUUGGGGCGAUUCAUAUUUCUAUGUUCAGAGGUGGAAAUUACUUUGGUAGUUUAUUGAAAGAAUGAACUUCUGCGAAAGACAUUUGUCCAACGGAAGUGUUUUCUUAUUAAUUACAAGAACGAAAGUUAAGGGGAGUCGAAGAUGAUCAGAUACCA